UAAGCCCUGCUCAGAAGUCAAGAGCAGCAGCGCCGCCGCUCCUUGCAGCCUUUCAUGCUGCAGGCGCUUCUCAUUCUUGUGUCUCGGCCUCUCUGGGCGCCCCGGGACAAAGCCCCCAGAACCCGGUCGCUCCCUUCCCGCUAAAUCCCCUUCGGGGUCAGUGCUCGCUACCAGCACAGGGCCGCACGCCUCUCCUGCUAGCCGUGUGGCUCUUAAAGAGCCCCACACCCCUCCGCCCCGCGUGGUCCUUCGACCCCCGCCACCCCUCCCCUCUCCUCCGGAUCUAGCCCCCCACGCCGACGCCUGAGGUCCCUGCUGCCCCGAC
rnacentral:lncRNA from 1 species